rnacentral:rRNA from 1 species
UACAGAGGUCCCAAGCGUUGUUCGGAUUCACUGGGCGUAAAGGGUGCGUAGGCGGCCGGGUAAGUCUGAUGUGAAAUCCCGCAGCUUAACUGCGGAACUGCAUCGGAUACUCUCCGGCUAGAGGAAUGGAGGGGAGACUGGAAUUCUCGGUGUAGCAGUGAAAUGCGUAGAGAUGUGGAGGAAUACCGAUGGCGAAGGCAGCCCCCUGGGAUAACACUGACGCUCAUGCACGAAAGCGUGGGGAGCAAACAGG